rnacentral:rRNA from 1 species
UACACAUGCAAGUCGGCACGGCAGCGUAGUAGUGCUUGCACUACUGACGGCGAGUGGCGAACGGGUGAGUAAUGCAUCGGAAUGUACCGAGUAAUGGGGGAUAACUGAUCGAAAGAUUAGCUAAUACCGCAUACGACCUGAGGGUGAAAGCAGGGGAUCUUAGGACCUUGCGUUAUUCGAGCAGCCGAUGUCGGAUUAGGUAGUUGGUGGGGUAAAGGCCUACCAAGCCUGCGAUCCGUAGCGGGUCUGAGAGGAUGAUCCGCCACAUUGGGACUGAGACACGGCCCAAACUCCUACGGGAGGCAGCAGUGGGGAAUUUUGGACAAUGGGGGCAACCCUGAUCCAGCCAUGCCGCGUGUCUGAAGAAGGCCUUCGGGUUGUAAAGGACUUUUGUACGGGAAGAAAAGGGAAGUGAUAAUACCACUUUCUGCUGACGGUACCGUAAGAAUAAGCACCGGCUAACUACGUGCCAGCAGCCGCGGUAAUACGUAGGGUGCGAGCGUUAAUCGGAAUUACUGGGCGUAAAGCGAGCGCAGACGGUUGAUUAAGCCAGAUGUGAAAUCCCCGAGCUUAACUUGGGACGUGCAUUUGGAACUGGUUAGCUAGAGUGUGUCAGAGGGAGGUAGAAUUCCACGUGUAGCAGUGAAAUGCGUAGAGACGUGGAGGAAUACCGAUGGCGAAGGCAGCCUCCUGGGAUAACACUGACGUUCAUGCUCGAAGCGUGGGUAGCAAACAGGAUUAGAUACCCUGGUAGUCCCCCCCUAACGAUGACAUUAGCUGUUGGGUACUAGAUACUUAGUACGUAGCUACGCUGAAUUUCCCCUGGGAGUACGUCCAGAU